UAACUUGCCUGGCAGGUGGUUUUCCCAGGGCAAGGCUCAUCCCCCACACUCUGGGCGUGCUGACCCCCACCACUUCCCCAAAUGCGGGAAACUCAAGUGCGUAAUUGGUGGUAGUGGGGGACUGCAUGCGCCCUCAUCCCCC
rnacentral:snRNA from 13 species